rnacentral:misc_RNA from 1 species
GAUGAAGAACGUAGUGAAAUGCGAUAAGUAAUGUGAAUUGCAGAAUUCCGUGAAUCAUCGAAUCUUUGAACGCACAUUGCGCCCCCUGGUAUUCCGGGGGGCAUGCCUGUCCGAGCGUCAUUGCAACCUUCAAGCGCGGCUUGUGUGUUGGGUCUCGUCCCCCGUGGACGGGCCCGAAAGGCAGUGGCGGCGUCCCGACAUGGUGCCCGAGCGUAUGGGAAUCCUCUUCCGCUCGAAUCGGCCCAUGCGGCGCUGGUCAUAACCAAAUUUUUUACCGGUUGACCUCGGAUCAGGUAGGGAUACCCGCUGAACUUAAGCAUAUCAAUAAGCGGAGGA